GUCCUAGUACUUCAUCAAAAGGUUCAUCGAAGAGAAAUAUGUCUUCCAAGAAAGAAGAAAUUCCUCCAUCCAAGUUAUUUAAGAUCUUUAAUGCAGAGAAGUUUCGGAAUGCUCAACUUGACACUAGCAGAAGUGUUGACUAUACCAGUGUUGAAAACACAAAUUCAGAAACCAACAUUAAAUGUUUUUUGGAGGAAUCGCACAACAACCUCACAAACUUCUUAUGUAGUGGAUC
rnacentral:lncRNA from 1 species